ensembl:lncRNA
GCAUUCAGUAACGGUUUCUAUUGAGCGUCUGCGGUAUGGACGGUUUUAGCCUUAUUUACACCAACAUGGCCAGUUGCAAUUUAGGUAUAACUUUCACCACAUUAUCUCAUUUGAUCCUUGUGGGAAGGUAUGGAGAAGGAAUCAAGGAUCUUGCUACCAAGAAGCUGUAAGCUGCUUUCUAAUGCCAGAAAAAGGAAUCUGCAGGCUAGAGGCUCAAGGCUUUUCUUGUAGCAGGGCCAGCUGAGCCCACCUGGAGAUCAGACACACGAGCCCAGGACCCACCAGAAUGUCCAAGCAGUUGUUUGCACAGGGUCUGCACCAUCUUGUUUUAUAGCUGAAGGAGCAAGGAAGAGUUUAAUGAGAGGGGGAUGGACUCUAAGGGACAAAUUGAAGGGGGAGUACUGCUGUGCAGGGUGACAGAGGGGGGCCCCCAGGGCUUGAGGCCCCAAGGAGAGCAGGGCCAGAGCCAGAAGCUGAGGAGCUAUUUUGCACGAGAGAAUUUGGGAUCCUCAGGCACAAGCAGAGCAUCUUUGGGACUCAGAACAGAAGAGGCAGCACAGGGUGGGGUGAGGGUGUUUUCCUACUUCUGCAAGGAUUGCCGUGUGGCCGCAAGAUGAGGAGGAAUGGCAGAGAACACAGAGCUCGGUGGCGCUUUGCCAGUGGGGCAGGAACCAAGGCAGAGCUUUGUGGCCCUGGGACAUAGGCCCCAAGGGAAGGCAGCGCUACAAGGAAAAUUUCAUGAGGGACAUUGCUAUGCUCCGCUUUGAGCAUCACCAGAGUCCUAGUCCACUAACUGCAUCCCCAGGCCACCAGAGAGUUCUGCACAGCCUCGGCACCAGAAAGCUCAUGGAGCUCAGCCUACUGGGCCAGGUGGGGCCAAGGCAGAGACUCGGGCCCCGUGCAGAGGUAUUUGCACAAAGAGCGCCAGCAAAAUGACAAUUUCAAAUGACCAACAAGUCGUGAACCUCUAAGAGCUGUUUCUGAGCAUACUUGAUACAUCCCGUGGACUCACCCCAAGUAAGUAGAGAGAAUUUGAGGAAGAGGAGGCGUGCUCCAUGCAGGCGGAGCAAUCAGCUAGCAAAAUUUGAGUGAAAACGUGAUCUAAUUGGCCCCACAGGCUGCUGAGGCCUGGGGACAUUUGGUUACAGCCCUGCCAAGGAGGCUCAGUAAACAGGUUCAGACCUACUCAGUUGGGAGGCAAUUAAGUUCCACCGCCAAGGGGGAGCCAAAGGCAGCCAUGGACAGAACAACAGCCUGUUGUAGCACCCAGCCCUCCGUGGGCUGCUAGGACGGUGCUCCAAGCCUGCAGGCUGCUCUGCUUCUGCGCUUAAAUAGGGAUAAUUAAUUAACAGGAGGUAAUUGUAAUAGCUUCUGCCCUAAGGCCACAUUCUGCAUAAGUUUACAAAAUAUAGAAAAGAGUUUCCUGCUUUAGGAUGGAAUGCCCAUAAAAAGGAGCACAGCUUGUCAAGAGAUCUAUGGCAAAGGGUUCCAUUCCAAUUGGGUCUAUGAAGUGAUCUAUUUAAGAGUUAAAUCUAAACAUAUGUAAUUGUCCUCCACAUCACUAGCAAAGAAGGUUAGCUUUGUUUGUUGAUGGGGAAAGACUGCAGCUUGUGCAUUCUUACGUCUGCAAAAGCUUUGCUGGGCUCUUGCACAUAGUGGGUUCUUAGCAUCUGUUGCAUGAGAAUGAAAUUCCGACAAGGAAUGAGUGUUCGUUCUAACUUGGGAGCUCAUCUCCAGUGGUUAAAACCCUGGAGUGUGGGGGCUGGCCCCAUGGCCGAGGGUUAAGUUCGCACGCUCUGCUGCAGGCGGCCCAGUGUUUCGUUGGUUGGAAUCCUGGGCGCGGACAUGGCACUGCUCAUCAAACCACGCUGAGGAGGCGUCCCACAUGCCACAACUAGAAGGACCCACAACGAAUAAUAUACAACUAUGUACCAGGGGGCUUUGGGGAGAAAAAGGAAAAAAAUAAAAUCUUUAAAAAAAAAACAACCCUGGAGUGUGGUGUGAAGGAGGCACAUUCCUGAGACACAGUCAGGUCCUUUCCCAUUUAGGCUCCCAGGAAAAAUAAAACAAUUCUACUUAAAUAGAGCUGAAUUCUAGGUAAAAUAAGAAGUUAAUGAUGGGGCCGGCCUGGUGGCGCAGCGGUUAAGUGCGCAGGUUCUGCUUCUCGGUGGCUUAGGGUUCGCCUGGGUCCGGACAUGGCACCACUUGGCAAGCCAUGCUAUGGUAGGCGUCUCACAUAUAAAGUAGAGAAAGAUGGGCACGGAUGUUAGCUCGGGGCCAUGCUUCCUCAGCAAAAAGAGGAGGACUGGCAGUAGUUAGCUCAGGGCUACUCCUCAACAACAACAACAAAAAGUUAAUGAAACAAUUCUACCCUUUAUGGCGGUCUAGCUGCCGCCACUCCAGAAAAGACUCACAUAUUAGGUUUCAUCCUAUUGACUGGAAACCUCUGGGUGUGUAUGUGUAGAUACGGUCUGUGGGGAGUGUGUACCCAUGUGUUUGUGUGCUGUCUUAACAGGAGGACAGAAAUCAUCACAAUCCAUGACCACAGUGGUGAGCAUUGAGAAAGCCACCGCUAAGCAACUAGAAUAAAAGUUCAUCAAUGGGCAAGAUGGAGAAUUAAAAGCUGACCUAAUCGCCAUCACUGAGUAGCCCAGGAAACUCGGCAUGGUCAUAAAAGAAAUCCCUGCGUCAGUGUGGUGUUGGGGGAGGGCUGGUCGUUGUGACUGAAGAGGACAUAAUGUUGACAGGAACCAUUGUGUACUGCUGUGAGAAAAGACCUUGGGAAUUUCCUAUUCCACACACACUACCUUCCCUGAAUUUAGGUAUGAGGAAAUUGAGACUCAGGAAAAGAAUGAGCAGAAAAGUCACUAAUUUAUGGAGAGGCUAAGUUGGGAAGACAAUUAAAUCUUCCAGCUCCUUGUUAGUAUUCUUCCCCUAUAUCAAUUUGCCUCUUUGAAUUUAUAUCUAUUUCUCCAACUAGAUGAUAAUCUACUGUAGGGUAGGGAUGCCUCAUUACAUUAUCUGUUAUACAAGACCCUUGGCAUAUAUUAUUUCUAAUUCUAGCAACAACCUUGCAAGGUAGCAAUUAUUCUUAUGUUACCAGUGAGAAGACUAAGGGUUAGAUAACUCAAGUUAUGGGCCCAAGAUCAAAUAAACAGUAAAUGACAAAGCCAGGGUUUAGUGCAUGCCUACCGUGUGCUUGAAAUUGUGCUAGUUUUAAUUAAAAUGCAAUUUACUUAAAAAAUAAAUUCCACAUCUUCAACAUUGUUCAUAAUAAAUCUCAAGUGUGUAAUACAUUUGGGGCUAUGGAGAUUUAUGUAGAACAAGCAUUGUGACCGAGAAACUGGGAAAGAAAUUGGACUUAAACUUGGUGAUUAAGGAUGCACAGGAUAUGUAUAAUCUAACGAGACAUAGUGGGCAGACGCAGGUAUUUCCAACAAGGAUAAGGGUGUAAGCAGAAACUGGUAAAAAUGGGUUGUUGGAAAAUAGGGAAAAAUUUGUUUUGCAGAAGCCAUAGUUUUUGUAGGAGAGUCAUGUAUAGUAAGUUAUAACAAUAGAUUGAGGCAAAGUUAUGGAAGCCUUUGAAUGCCAGGUUAAGGUAUUUGAGACUUAUUCUUCAGGUUAUGGGGAAUCAUCGAAUAUGGUUGACCUAUAAAAGUAGAGUUUUAGCCAGUUGCCCAAUAUGUGAGUAGAGGGAAAAGGACUGGGAGAUGAGAGACCACUUAAAGACCACAUAAAGUGGAUUUAAGACUACUGUAAUCACCUACUCUUGAACUGAAAAGCCUGGCAUGGGGGUGGGAUGGAAAUCAUGCUAUUGGUACAAGAACUAUUACUAUUGUUUGUGAAGGGGGAAUUGGAAAGGUGAAAUGUAAAUUUUUUGUAUUUUUUAUUUUGGGGGGAAGAUUGGCUCUGAGCCAAUACCUAUUGCCAAUCUUCCUCUUUUUGCUGAGGAAGAUUGUUCCUGAGCUAAUAUCUGUGCCAGUCUUCCCCUACGUUGCCUGUGGGAUGCCGCCACAGCCUGGCUUGAUGAGUGGUGCAUAGGUCAGCACCCGGACCCGAACCUGUGAGCCUGGGGUGCUGAAGUGAAGUGUGUGAACUUAACCACUAUGCCACAGGGCUGGCCCCUGAAAUGUAAAUUUUUUAAGUUGCUUGUCCAAAAGUAGACAAUCCUGUUUUCCUGAAAACAUGUAUGGAAGUUAUGGAUAUGAAAGCUCAUCAAAAUAUACCCUCGAGAUGAGGGAGGGAGAUUCUGUUCCCAGAGAGUUAAAAGGCUUUACACCCCCAAUCCCAUCCUGUCCUGUACAUGGUCUUCAGUGGUAUGGCUCUAAUACACGUUUUUUAAUUUUGCUCUUUUCUGUCAUAAGUAAAUCCACAGUUCACUGAGCAUCCACGUGAGGCUAAAUGUGUGCUGCCUUCAACCUAAUGGCUUCCAAGUGUAUGAAUCUCUUCUCAUAAGUAUUAUCAACACUUUUAUUGUUUGCUAUUCAAUUACUUGAAAAGAUAAAAUGAACGAAAUUUAUUUAAUUAAAAAAUAUUCAAUUUGUUGCCUGCACUUUGAUAAACAAAGAUGACGCUACUCCCCAAAUGAAGUGUGGGCCACCCAGACAGAACUAUAGACAUCUGAAAUUUAAAAUGUUAAUUCAACAACUAGCAUAUGGAAACUCAAAUGUGAAUCACCACAGGUAGUUUAGUGAUAUUAAACCUACAAUGAGGGGAAAAAGUGUAGAUUGAUUAAAAGUUGGAGUUAUGACAUAUGCAUAAAUCAGUGCACUAAUCAUAUUCAUAAAACUCCUUAAAUCCUUCUUUAAGAAUUUUUUGUUUUCAACCCUGGAAUCAUUGUUGGACUCCUCUCUGGCCUUCUCAAAACUCAGGAUCUCUCUUAACUUUGGGGUUCAGAAAGAUCUGGAAGUAUUGGCCUAGCCAACAUCAAUGGUAGUAAAAUUUAACCACAUAACUGCCAAAUACUAUACAGUUGUCCCUGGUAUCUGCACAGGAUUUGUUCCAGGACCCCUUGAGGAUACCAAAAUUGGAGGAUGCUCAAGUCCCUUAGCCAGCCCUCUGGGUCCGCAGGAUCCGAGGGCCAACUGUACCUUAUUCUGGAAUCCUCAUUUCUACAUUUAAUUGGGUAAUCCAGGAACAAUUAUGUGGCCUGGAUCUGUAUGACUGAUGGCUCAAUCUCAUUUCAGUGAUAAAAGGAUGAAGAUUUCAGUGGGUUUUGGAAGGUCUAGAAAAAAGGUCUUCAGUCUGCAUGACUAGUGUCCUUUUCUUACGAAGGGGUUCUGAACAUUUUUUGUAUAGCAUGGAUCCCUUUGGCAGUCUAAUGAAGCCUAUGCAUCCCUUUUCAGAAAAAAAGUUUUUAAAUUCCUAAAAUAAAAAUACAGUUGUGUACCAUAUAACAAAUUUUGGUCAAUGAUGGACCACAUAUACAACAGUAGUUCCGUAAGAUUAGUACCAUACAACCUAGGUGUGUAGGAGGCUAUACCAUCCAAUUUUGUGUAAGUGCACUCUAUGAUGCUCCCACAAGGACAAAAUCACUUUAUGAUGCCUUUCUCAGAACAUAUCCCCAUUGUUAAGUGGCGCAUGACUGUACGUACAACUAGAAAGAAAGCCAAUUAGACUGAAACUUGGUUAUCAAAAUACUGAAAAACAAAUUUUUGCUAUGUUAACACAUGUACCUCUGUAUUAAUACUUUAAAUAACAAGGCCCAGGAGCAGGUCUAAUGACUGCUAUGAUUUUGACACCAUGAUAAGUGUUGACAACAUUUUGAGAUAUCUGCUACAACUAUAAAGUGAUAUGAAAAAUGUGUGUGAUUUCUCACGGUGAGAGUUACAGAUACUGCUAACAUGACAGUGGUUUGCUGUCUGCAUUUAUCAUGGAAGGAAAUGUUUAAUUUCAGUCUGGGAUUAGUACACAUGAAGAUGCAAAUUUUUUCCCUUUCAAGGCCACAGACCAUCCCCCUCAAUUUUGUUAGUAGCUAGACCUCAGGCUAAGAACGUGGAUAUUAAAGGAUUGUUUCUAAGUAAAACAUAAGCUCUCAGUGCUCAUCAGAGAUCAUAGAAACAUCUACUCAGGCAGCGUGGAAUUGACCCAUUGUCACUCUGGGAAGCCAUCCAUUGAGCUUGCUUACCACCGUAACUAGUACCUAGCAUCAUGCCUGACCCAGAAUAGAUAUUCAGUGCAUAUUUGUUGAUCGACUGAGUGAAGAAAGGAUUGGAGAGACAAUGGAGUGAAGUUGGAUUUGGCUCUCUAAAGGUCCUUUCUUCUCGAACAUUCUAAGACUCUAUGGCUCCCUAACAAAUGCAGAAGGAAAUAACUGAAGCCUGCUCACAGGCCUGUGGCUGCCAAGAAGUGACCGCAGGAGACAGGGCAGGCAGGGGGUGGAACAGCAAUGCAAUGCAGCGGGGGUGGAGUGGGAGGGUGGUCAAAAGCUCAACAAUGAGCUACAGCUCUGUCCCAGAGAUAAAGACCCAGAUCAGAAAAUGGGGCUGCUGCACCCAGUUACCACAGAGGGUAACAGAAGGGCAGAGGAACAGCUGAGGCUGCCCAUCUGUUUUUUUCUGCUGCGUGUCUGUCAGCAUCGGCAACGGACAGGAAAUUCAUUCAUCAAGAUCCUGGCUCAUAAUUCUCUUGAGGAGGAGAUUAUUUGUAAGCUCAAAGUCUUUUUGUGUCUCUGACAAGUGUCACUAGCUGAAAGUGUUGACUGAGGGUGCCGCCCACCCCUACCACCUGGAAAGGAAAGAAGAAAGGCUGAAUUCACACAGCCCUGUGAAGUUCCUGGUAGGGCUAGGUGUUAGAAACUAAGAAGACCAUAAUAUAGAACAAUUGUUAGGGUUAAUAAUAGUCAUAUAAACUAGAUACAGAUGAAUGCAUUUAUUUCAAUUGAGAUGUUUACCCAAGUGAAGACUUUUAUAUCAGGACCUCAUAUUGUACAAAAGAGUAAUAAUAAAAAUGGCUGUCAUUUUUUCAACAUGCCUACCAGGCAUCAGGCAUCUGAUGUAAUUUUAUCUCAUUUAAUCCUCACAACAG